GGGGCUGUGGGGUAGCUUGGUUAUCCUUUCUGGCUUGGGACCAGAAGACCCCGGUUCGAAUCCGGGCAGCCCCA
rnacentral:tRNA from 1 species